AAAGUUCAUCGCGAUAAUCGCGGGAAAAGUUCAACUUUCACGAGGAAAGUCCGGACUCCAUAGAGCGCCGUAGCAGUUAACGACUGUCUGCCGUAAGGUACGGAUUAGAGCAACAGAGACGAGCCGACGUUAGGGUCGGGUGAAACGGGCAAUCUCUACGGGGAGCAACAUCAAAUAGGCAACUGCUGAUCCUGCUCGGUGAGGUUGCGGGUAGAUGGCUAGAGACGGAGCGUGAGCUCCGUAGUAGAUGAAUGAUUAUCGGCCUACUUCUAUGAGGUAGGAACAGAAUCCGGCUUAUAGAUGGACUUUGUCU
rnacentral:RNase_P_RNA from 1 species